rnacentral:rRNA from 1 species
GAUGAAUGCUGGCGGCGUGCCUAACACAUGCAAGUCGAGCGGCAGCGCGGAGAGUUUACUCUCUGGCGGCGAGCGGCGGACGGCUGAGUAACGCGUGGGAACGUGCCCCAAAGUGAGGAAUAACUGCCCGAAAGGGUGGCUAAUGCCGCAUAUGAUCUUCGGAUUAAAGGAUUUAUCCGCUUUGGGAGCGGCCCGCGUCGGAUUAGGUUGUUGGUGAGGUAAUGGCUCACCAAGCCGACGAUCCGUAGCUGGUCUGAGAGGAUGAUCAGCCAGACUGGGACUGAGACACGGCCCAGACUGCUACGGGAGGCAGCAGUGAGGAAUCUUACACAAUGGGCGAAAGCCUGAUGGAGCAACGCCGCGUGCAGGAUGAAGGCCUUCGGGUUGUAAACUGCUUUUAUAAGUGAAGAAUAUGACGGUAACUUAUGAAUAAGCACCGGCUAACUACGUGCCAGCCGCCGCGGUAA